rnacentral:ncRNA from 1 species
CACGAUAAAGGCAAACCCCGAGUGAUCGGGGGACGCAAAGGAAAGGAUCUUUUCCAGCGAAUAGGAAGUUGAGCUAGAAAAAGAUAGCCUUACUGCCGAAA